rnacentral:rRNA from 1 species
ACUCCUACGGGAGGCAGCAGUAGGGAAUCUUCCACAAUGGGCGCAAGCCUGAUGGAGCAACACCGCGUGAGUGAAGAAGGGUUUCGGCUCGUAAAGCUCUGUUGUUAAAGAAGAACACGUAUGAGAGUAACUGUUCAUACAUUGACGGUAUUUAACCAGAAAGUCACGGCUAACUACGUGCCAGCAGCCGCGGUAAUACGUAGGUGGCAAGCGUUAUCCGGAUUUAUUGGGCGUAAAGAGAGUGCAGGCGGUUUUCUAAGUCUGAUGUGAAAGCCUUCGGCUUAACCGGAGAAGUGCAUCGGAAACUGGAUAACUUGAGUGCAGAAGAGGUAGUGGAACUCCAUGUGUAGCGGUGGAAUGCGUAGAUAUAUGGAAGAACACCAGUGGCGAAGGCGGCUACCUGGUCUGCAACUGACGCUGAGACUCGAAAGCAUGGGUAGCGAA